GUCCUGGAGGGCCCGGCGGCGGCGGCGGCGUCCUGGAGGGCCCGGAGGCGGCGGCGGCGUCCUGGAGGGCCCGGAGGCGGCGGCGGCUCCUCAUCCAAAGAAAUGAGGCGACGUUGCGGAGGUCCAGGCGGUUGGCCCGGUGGAGGUCCUGGAGGAGACGGUCCCGGCGGUGGACGGCUGGGGGAUCCGGCGGUGGAGGUCCGAAGGCGGCUCGUGAUUAGACCAACCAGCUCCUCAUCCAUGGAAGGAUUGAAGGAGUCACUGGGGAUGAAGAUCACUGCUCAGGGGCUGACGACCACUCAUCUUUCCGGAGAAGCGUCCUCAUGGUGCAGGCGGUCAAACCUCCACCUCUUUGAAGAGACCAAGCAGCUUGAUGACUGACUGGUUCUUUAUACUCAAGACCUCGUCCCGGAGCAGAGGACGGACCUAAGGCCCGCAGCGCAGCCGACUAGAGACUCCAUGUGGAACCGGUUCAAUUAAGUUGACCUCUCCUUCAGGCGACUUAAAGGGAGACCAGAUGUGCGGCAGCUGGGUGUCAUGGUGCAGAGACCCAACGCUGUACUGAACUACACCAGUGUGUCCUACUCCCAUAAACCCUGAGGAUCCCUGGAUGGCUACACCAGUGUGUCCUACUCCCAUAAACCCUGAGGAUCCCUGGAUGGCUACACCAGCACAUUAAUCCACACCCAACAUCAACACACAGUGCACACUCUAUAGAGCUCGUAAGUCUGCCCCUUGCGGCGGGACCUCGUGAGAUUGUAAGAUAUGACUGGGUUUCA